rnacentral:rRNA from 1 species
CAGUCGCCGCGGUAAUACGUAGGGUGCGAGCGUCAAUCGGAAUUACUGGGCGUAAAGCGUGCGCAGGCGGUUAUGUAAGACAGUUGUGAAAUCCCCGGGCUCAACCUGGGAACUGCAUCUGUGACUGCGUAGCUAGAGUACGGUAGAGGGGGAUGGAAUUCCGCGUGUAGCAGUGAAAUGCGUAGAUAUGCGGAGGAACACCGAUGGCGAAGGCAAUCCCCUGGACCUGUACUGACGCUCAUGCACGAGAGCGUGGGGAGCAAACAGGAUUAGAUACCCGCGUAGUCCCUGUCUCUUAUAC